rnacentral:rRNA from 1 species
UGGCGGCUGUAGCGCGGUGGUCCCACCUGACCCCAUGCCGAACUCAGAAGUGAAACGCCGUAGCGCCGAUGGUAGUAUGGGGUCUCCCCAUGCGAGAGUAGGGAACUGCCAGGCA